AUUGAACGCUGGCGGCAUGCCUUACACAUACAAGUCGAACGGCAGCAUGACGUGUAGCAAUACACGUUGAUGGCGAGUGGCGAACGGGUGAGUAAUAUAUCGGAACGUGCCCUGUAGCGGGGGAUAACCUAUCGAAAGAUGGACUAAUACCGCAUACGCUCUACGGAGGAAAGCGGGGGUCGCAAGACCUCGCACUAUAGGAGCGGCCGAUAUCGGAUUAGCUAGUUGGCGGGGUAAUAGCCCACCAAGGCGACGAUCCGUAGCUGGUCUGAGAGGAUGAUCAGCCACACUGGAACUGAGACACGGUCCAGACUCCUACGGGAGGCAGCAGUGGGGAAUUUUGGACAAUGGGCGCAAGCCUGAUCCAGCCAUGCCGCGUGAGUGAAGAAGGCCUUCGGGUUGUAAAGCUCUUUCGGCAGGAACGAAAUGGUUCGUGCUAAUACCACGGAUUGAUGACGGUACCUGAAGAAGAAGCACCGGCUAACUGCGUGCCAGCCGCCGCGGUAAUAC
rnacentral:rRNA from 1 species